UGUGAUUUCAAAUACCAAAUUGAACUUCGUAAAUUAUUCAUUCCAACAAGUUGACUUAGCGCUCAGUCACUUUCAAUAAGACCCAUCAUGAGCACUGUCAAAAGCCUAAAACUCAUGUUUGAAGCUCACAUAUAGUGUAAUACAAAUCUGCCGAGUUAAGGAUCUUUUCUGAAUCUCGCAAUUUUGGUGGUGUACCCUGCAACAGC